AUGAACGCUGGCGGCGUGCCUAAUACAUGCAAGUCGAGCGAACAGACGAGGAGCUUGCUCCUCUGACGUUAGCGGCGGACGGGUGAGUAACACGUGGAUAACCUACCUAUAAGACUGGGAUAACUUCGGGAAACCGGAGCUAAUACCGGAUAAUAUAUUGAACCGCAUGUUCAAUAGUGAAAGACGGUUUUGCUGUCACUUAUAGAUGGAUCCGCGCCGCAUUAGCUAGUUGGUAAGGUAACGGCUUACCAAGGCAACGAUGCGUAGCCGACCUGAGAGGGUGAUCGGCCACACUGGAACUGAGACACGGUCCAGACUCCUACGGGAGGCAGCAGUAGGGAAUCUUCCGCAAUGGGCGAAAGCCUGACGGAGCAACGCCGCGUGAGUGAUGAAGGUCUUCGGAUCGUAAAACUCUGUUAUUAGGGAAGAACAAAUGUGUAAGUAACUAUGCACGUCUUGACGGUACCUAAUCAGAAAGCCACGGCUAACUACGUG
rnacentral:rRNA from 1 species